GCCGCGUGCAGGAUGACGGCCCUAUGGGUUGUAAACUGCUUUUAUACAGGAAGAAAAACUCCCACGUGUGGGAGCUUGACGGUACUGUAAGAAUAAGGAUCGGCUAACUCCGUGCCAGCAGCCGCGGUAAUACGGAGGAUCCAAGCGUUAUCCGGAAUCAUUGGGUUUAAAGGGUCCGUAGGCGGUUUUUUAAGUCAGAGGUGAAAUCUUGCAGCUCAACUGUAGAAUUGCCUUUGAUACUGAAAGACUUGAGUUAUUGUGAAGUGGUUAGAAUGUGUGGUGUAGCGGUGAAAUGCAUAGAUAUCACACAGAAUACCAAUUGCGAAGGCAGAUCACUAACUCUAUACUGACGCUCAGGGACGAAAGCGUGGGUAGCGAACGGGAUUAGAUACCCUGGUAGUCCACGCCGUAAACGAUGGAUACUAGCUGU
rnacentral:rRNA from 1 species